rnacentral:rRNA from 1 species
UCGAGAAUUUUUUCUCAAUGGGCGCAAGCCUGAAGGAGCGACGCCGCGUGGGGGAUGAAGGUCUUCGGAUUGUAAACCCCCGUGUCAUCCGGCGAACAAACCCCCAUGGUUGAACAGGCCAUGGGUUGAUAGUAGUGGAAGAGGAAGGGACGGCUAACUCUGUGCCAGCAGCCGCGGUAAUACAGAGGUCCCGAGCGUUGUUCAGAUUCACUGGGCGUAAAGGGUGCGUAGGCGGUGGGGCCAGUCUGAUGUGAAAGCUCCGGGCUCAACCCGGAAACGGCAUUGGAAACCUGCCCCGCUGGAGGCCUGGAGGGGGGACUGGAAUGCUGAGUGUAGCAGUGAAAUGCGUAGAGAUUCGAGCGGAACACCAGUGGCGAAGGCGAGUCCCUGGACAGGACCUGA